AGUUCCAGCUCUCCCAGACUAUGCCGAUUAUUCUGCUGCUGCAAUUGGUGCUGAUUGGUCGAGUGGUCAAAUCCCAGAAGCACAAUGGACACCUGAUAUGGCUGCUCCAAUUCCACCGGUUGCAAGUGGUUGGACUGCUGAUGCAGGUGCAGGUGUGGCCGCUGAUGGGUGAGAUACAACUGCUGCUCCACCGAUGGUAGCUCCUGCUGUAGAUAUAGCGCCCGCUGUUGCUCCAAGUGGCUGGGAGUAAAUGAGAUUUGCUCAAACCAUUUACUUCUCAUGAUCCCCUCCCUAAAACUUUCUUCUUGAAAUUCAUUUGCUCUUUUUGUUGGCAAUGUUGAAUUUUUGUAGUAGAGUUUUAUAGGGCUUUGGCUAAGAUCAGAGUUCUAUGACUAAUUUAAAUAGAGGGAUUUUUUUUUUUUCGG